CAAAAGACCAAAAUGACACAGACAUUUACAACUAUAGGUCACCGUACGGCCUUCAACAAUGAGAAAAUCCCAUAUCGCAUAGUCAGCUAUCAAAGGCCCGGAUAAGACAAUGUAAAACAAUUCAAACGAGAAAACUAACGGCCUUAUUUAUAUAAAAAAAUGAAAGAAAAACAAAUAUGUAACACAUAAACAAACGACAACCACUGAAUUACAGGCUCCUGACUUGGGACAGGCACAUACAUAAAUAAUGUGGCGGGGUUAAAUAUGUUAGCGGGAUCCCAACCCUCCCCCUAACCUGGGACAGUGGUAUAACAGUACAACAUAAGAACGAACUAUUAAAAUCAGUUGAAAAAG
rnacentral:lncRNA from 1 species